rnacentral:rRNA from 1 species
UCCUACGGGAGGCAGCAGUGGGAAUAUUGCACAAUGGGCGCAAGCCUGAUGCAGCAACGCCGCGUGAGGGAUGACGGCCUUCGGGUUGUAAACCUCUUUUAGCAGGGAAGAAGCGAAAGUGACGGUACCUGCAGAAAAAGCGCCGGCUAACUACGUGCCAGCAGCCGCGGUAAUACGUAGGGCGCAAGCGUUAUCCGGAAUUAUUGGGCGUAAAGAGCUCGUAGGCGGUUUGUCGCGUCUGCUGUGAAAUCCCGAGGCUCAACCUCGGGUCUGCAGUGGGUACGGGCAGACUAGAGUGCGGUAGGGGAGAUUGGAAUUCCUGGUGUAGCGGUGGAAUGCGCAGAUAUCAGGAGGAACACCGAUGGCGAAGGCAGAUCUCUGGGCCGUAACUGACGCUGAGGAGCGAAAGGGUGGGGAGCAAACAGGCUUAGAUACCCUGGUAGUCCACCCCGUAAACGUUGGGAACUAGUUGUGGGGUCCAUUCCACGGAUUCCGUGACGCAGCUAACGCAUUAAGUUCCCCGCCUGGGGAGUACGGCCGCAAGGCUAAAACUCAAAGGAAUUGACGGGGACCCGCACAAGCGGCGGAGCAUGCGGAUUAAUUCGAUGCAACGCGAAGAACCUUACCAAGGCUUGACAUACACCAGAACACCGUAGAAAUACGGGACUCUUUGGACACUGGUGAACAGGUGGUGCAUGGUUGUCGUCAGCUCGUGUCGUGAGAUGUUGGGUUAAGUCCCGCAACGAGCGCAACCCUCGUUCUAUGUUGCCAGCACGUAAUGGUGGGAACUCAUGGGAUACUGCCGGGGUCAACUCGGAGGAAGGUGGGGAUGACGUCAAAUCAUCAUGCCCCUUAUGUCUUGGGCUUCACGCAUGCUACAAUGGCCGGUACAAAGGGCUGCAAUACCGUGAGGUGGAGCGAAUCCCAAAAAGCCGGUCCCAGUUCGGAUUGAGGUCUGCAACUCGACCUCAUGAAGUCGGAGUCGCUAGUAAUCGCAGAUCAGCAACGCUGCGGUGAAUACGUUCCCGGGUCUUGUACACACCGCCCGUCAAGUCAUGAAAGUCGGUAACACCUGAAGCCGGUGGCCCAACCCUUGUGGAGGGAGCCGUCGAAGGU